rnacentral:lncRNA from 1 species
GAUGCGGCAGUGGACACCAGCUCCGAGAUCAUCACCAAGGACCUGAAGGAGAAGAAGGAAGUUGUGGAGGAGGUGAAGAGAUAUACCUGCCAAUGGGAACACUCAAAAUGAGGAAAAUGGGGAGCAGGAGGCUAGCAAUGAGGUAGAUGAAGAAGAGGAAGAAGGUGGGGAGGAAGAGGAGGAGGAAGAAGGUGACGGUGAGGAAGAGGAUGGAGAUGAAGAUGAGGAAACUGAGGGUCCUAUGGGCAAGUGGGUAGCUGAGGAGGAUAACGAUGUCGACACCAAGAAGCAGAAGCCUGAGGAGGAUGACUAG